UCGGGUCGGUUUCACCGACCAUGUACACCCCUACCGUCCAUAAUGAGGAUAUUGAGCUGAUUUCUCUUCUUCCUCGUCCGCUCCCGCCACGUCACCAUCCCAAUCUAAUCUCGCCACGCCUUCAUCACCGGCGGUUCCAGUGACGGCGGCCUCGUCCUCUGCCGACGGCGCUCGUGUCUCCAUCCUCGAAGCCGGUCAGCAGUCCAUCCGCCUCGCCACUGGCAUAGACGUCGACGACGCAGACGUGUGUAAUCAAGGAGUAUUUGUGCUGCAGGAAUUAGAGAGUCAUGGUUUGGAGCAGAAUGGUUCAGUUGAGGCACCUACAUCCUCCACCUCAGUCGAGAGCUGGAUUACCUCUUCCAAUUAUAAAAUGGCGGGGCUUGCGGAGGUUCUUUUGGUUAUGUCCUUACAGAAAUUCGGAUAAAAGAAAUAAAGCACGGAUAAUAGAGAUUUAGAGAGCAGAAAGAUGCAGGAUAUUUCAAGCUCUUAUAAAAGAACCUCACCUUUGUCCUACAGCAACUAAGAUGUUAAAGGUGAAAGAAGAAGUAUGUUGAUGAGGGCCAGUAUGCAAGCAUGAUCGUAAAGCGAGUACACCAAAAAGCCAUUGCUUGAGAGCUUUUGCCAAUGGAGAUAAAGAGAGAGCUCGUCGAUAGGCUUUCUGUUGCAGACAAAAUAGAGCCCAUUUUGCUUGAUGGUAAGAAAAUAGGUAUGCUGAUGAUAGCAAGUAUCCAAGAAUGCGGCUUCAAAGGCAGACAGCUUCUCCCCGAUCCCCCUGCAGUCGUAAUUCGGAUUUUUUAAUCUUAUGUGUCAAUCCGUCAGUCGCCGACUACCUCAGCUCGGACUACUAAGGAUGUGAUAGUGGAAGCAUCUGACGCAGAAGUUAAUGAAGCUAAUUGAACUAGUGGUGGUAAUGGGAGGAUCAGGACAAGUUGCAUUGACAGUUAGAACUUUGAUAUGGUUAACUUGAAGCAAUUGGCUUCUGAACUUGAUAUUAAUAGGUCUAUAAUUGAUAUAUGAGUGCAGCAUAAGGAUUGUCAAGAGGAGCCAGUCGAAGAGUCUACUCGUCCUACAGGUUUGAGUUGUCAGUUAGCAGAAAUUCAUGAGCAUGUAGUAGCGGCAGAGGUUCAACUCAAAUUUGUGAAAACCGAGUAUGAGAGCCUGAUUGAGAAGCUUGUCCUUCAAUUCAAACAGGUCAGGGGCUGUCAUGAAGAACUUCAAAAAGUGCAUUUUGAUAUGGAGUCACCGUUAAACCGUAGUCUUGCUACUGAAACACAUCAAAGUAAUGAAAAUGCAGAGUUGAUGACAACUGUUCACUGGCUAAGAUCUGAGUUAGAAGCCUCUGUCAUUGAAAUCAGGGUCCUGUCAGAAUCAAUUAGUGUUUUAAUGCCUCGACUUGAGGAAUUCAAGAGGAAGACGGUUAUUCUGGAGGCUGAACUUGAUCAUGAUUCAAGAGUCCACAAUGAAUUUAACUACAAGCUGGAAAUAGCCGGGGAGGAGAUUUGUGAAUUGAUAUUCUGUAAUACUGAGCUAGAAAUUAUAAUCAUUGUUCUAAAAGAUAAACCAGAUGGACAGAAAGGUCACAUAGCGCUGAUGGAAAAAUCUAGUGUUGAAUCCUUCAAGGACAGAAUCAGAUUGAUGAAGUUAGACAAAAGCUGUCUGAAUAGAUUCUUAGAACAUAAGAAUUCAAAAACUUGUAUGUUCACUUGAAGGAGCUCAAAGCUGAAGCUGAAUGUCUCUCGGCUCAUGAGGAAAAAGGACCUGAAGGGCCAUCUUUUGUUGUUCAAGAGUCCUUGCGAAUUUAUUUCGUUAAGUAACAAUAUGAAACCAAGCUUCAAGAGCUAAGGCAACAGCUCUCAAUUUCUAAAAAGCACGGGGAGGAGAUGCUAUGGAAAUUACUAGAUGUUGUUAAUAAACUUGAAGACAGUUAGAAAACUGAAGUUUCUCACUUGAAGAAAGACGAAGAGUUGUCGAUUGAGGUCUUGGAGUUGGAGGCCGAAUUACAGUUAGUAUUCUCUGGUAAUCGUGAAAAAGUUAAUGCUUAUGAUAGAAUUUUAGGAAAUUUUAUAGGAAGGUGUUUGCUCCAGAGUAUCUUCAAGCGAAUAGCUAUUAUAUAAUUUCCGAAAUUAUAAUUUUUCUUUGUUGCAUUGUA